rnacentral:misc_RNA from 1 species
GUGAAAGUUGCUGUUCAUGGUUUGUACUGAACUUCUGUAUCUCGUAGUAGAAACAGUUUUCGGCCAUUUAGUCAACUGCUAAAUAAUUCUUUCUUACGUAAAGAAAUUUUAUAUGCUAUAUAAUCUUAAGAAGUAAUUAUUGAAAGAUUUUGUUAAUGGAAACAAUUCAUUUAAUCACAAAAUAGAAGGGUUAAUAUAUUGACUAAAGUCCUGGAGCCAGUAAUUGGGGCUA